AAUUUUGAUUUUAUGUCUUAAAGCCCUCCAACUCAUUGCAAAUGAGUCUAACCUCAUUGAGUCCAUUGAAAUCAAUAUGUAGAUGAUAAUAUGGAGCACCCGGUAUAUCCAUUGAAAUUUCUUCUUGAAUCUCAUACCUUACUACAACUACUUAUCAAAUGAUUGAUUGACAACUAACAAAAGAUAGUUAACGAUAACGAAGUGCCGUCUCGUACCUGUAAAUUACCUAUUUCAGUUCGAGCACGACAGAACAUUGAAAGUGAAAUUACCCAAGUUUUGUAUUAAUGAGAGCACUAGUAUCGCAUUACUUUGUAAUGAUUAUCUGAUCGGCUCUGGCAUCACUUGCAGAUAUUUGCAAUGCAUCGGUAUUAAGUUGGAGGUAAUCCUGCGUAUUGGCUUGGUUGAAUCUGAAAAUACCCCGAUUCCGAGGAUUAUAUUUGGCUUUGAGUCAGUUUUGUGACUGGAAAGGACCAAUAAAGCGGAUAUCAGCUUAAGCCACUCAUUUGACUCUUCUGGAUUAUGAUCAAGUUCAAUUUGUGUGAAAAUUGAUUUUGAUGCUAAAAGUGAGAUCCUGUCCAUUUGGUAUCAACAACUCGCUUUCGUGGGGAGAAUAAUUGUCAUUACAACGAUUUUUGGGGGGUAAUACGUAACAAAUUUGAUUUUUGCAGUAAUUGCAGUUAAAGAGCUACUUGGUUGUCUAAAUCACAGACUUUGAAAUAAAACUUAUGGAAAUG